rnacentral:rRNA from 1 species
GCAAGUCGAGGGGUAACAGUGGUGCUUGCACCAGCUGACGACCGGCGCACGGGUGCGUAACGCGUAUGCAACCUACCUUACACUGGGGGAUAGCCCGAAGAAAUUCGGAUUAAUACCCCAUGAUAUUGCGCCACUUCAUGGUGAUGCAUUUAAAACUCCGGUGGUGUAAGAUGGGCAUGCGUGACAUUAGAUUGUUGGUGAGGUAACGGCUCACCAAGUCGACGAUGUCUAGGGGUUCUGAGAGGAAGGUC